CUGACCGUGGUGCUGAAUACACGACUUCACAAGGGAUUCCAGUCAAGUGCACCAGAAGACUUGCGCAUCCGCCGCGACCAAGAGACUUCACGAAACCGAAGUUGUCCGCUGAAGAGUCCCAAAUGGAGACACACAGCAUCGUUGGAGCGAAUGAUGAAUGACCAUGGCAUCCCCAACAGAGAGGAGCAAUUAUUCAGCCCAACAGUGAAGAGAUGUCUCUGACUACUCUAUUCCUGUUCAAGCUGACCUGUCAAUUAGACCUUGCAAUCACUCUUCAAUCAUCUAUCUGGCAAUAACCCACCAGGCGUUUUAACUACUGACCCAAGGAUAAGAAUUCAUAGCAAUACAAUACAGACAUUUCCUGUGUUACAGUACUUCUAACUUAUUGGUGAGCCCAGUCAGAAAUAUCAAUGGACUUUAUGAGUCGGUUAUAAUGUUAUUAUUAGUUUGGGGAUAAGAAAUAGUCUCUCUUGUCAUAUUGGCCCACAGACCCAAGCUUCUUAUGAAAAUGUCUCACUCCACUUACCCUGACCUGAAGCUUAUUAAGCUGUGAACCUUUGAGCAUACAAGCACUAUAUACUAGGUCAUUGAUCCACAAUUCCUCUUCAACCACUCAGUUAGAUGUAUCCCCCUCGCCCCGCCUCCUGUUUCUAAUUAUUCACAAGGCCCCCGGCAUAGUUGGACCAUUGCUUAAAGAAGUCGAUUUGACAGGUUAGAGAAUCUACAGUUGCCAGUGCAAGUGGUACGCGGGCAGGACUUUGGUACAGCUGUCACAUUCAGCUUGUAUGUACUGUACAGGUCUGUGUCCCUUGGCUGUUACAAUCCAACAUGGACACCAGAACACGACAAGUCCUUGAAUAUGAAUUAAGCCCCAGUGAGCCUGUUCCAACUUGUCUGUUAUUGGUUUACUGAAGUGUUCAUGAAUCCAUAGGACUGCUUAUCAUCAUGUCAUCCCUGUUUGGCUUCUAUCACUGUUGUUGCCUAUGCGGCCAAAGGGUGAACUGAAUUGACCCCCAAAUAACCCCAUCCACUC
rnacentral:lncRNA from 1 species